GGAGUCGGCCGGACAGUCGCGUCGUCGGCCUCCAUUUCGGUGGAGACCGGCGCCGAGGAAAGUCCGGGCUCCACAGGGCACGGUGCCAGGUAACGCCUGGGCGGCGCGAGUCGACGGAAAGUGCAACAGAAAGAUACCGCCAGCGGCCCGGUCGUCUCCGGACGGCCGGGUGCGGGCAAGGGUGAAAUGGUGCGGUAAGAGCGCACCGCGAGCCUGGUAACAGGCCGGCACGGCAAACCCCACCGGGAGCAAGACCAAAUAGGGACCUCAUGACGCGGCCCGCGUCGGGUCCGGGUAGGUUGCUCGAGCGUAUCGGUGACGAUGCGCCUAGAGGAAUGACUGUCCACGACAGAACCCGGCUUACAGGCCGGCUCCGCCA
rfam:Luteimonas sp. FCS-9 scf7180000000225, whole genome shotgun sequence.